rnacentral:lncRNA from 1 species
UGAGUUUUUCACCUCCUUCUUUUCUUUUUUCUCUUAAAUUUUGUCUGUGGAGUGGGGAGCUAUGAAGGCAGAGGGCAGAAAUGCAGAAACAGGAAACGAAGGGGAUCAAAAUGCAUGAUGCGAAAGACACAAAGAAUAAAUAAAAAGAAUGUUUAAAAAAAGAAAAGAAAAGCUGGGGUUGAAAGCCAGACCUUUUCCAGAGACCAUUUGCAGUAUCGCCUACCUGGAGUUUGUUAAAAGCCAAACCCAACGGGGUGAUAAAACAGUGAGAACCUGAAAAUCAAGAGAAGUGAGCUCAAGAGAUGAAGGCUCAGUGCUGUACCUUGGAUGUACUUCUCGGACUUUGAGUCAUCUCUUCUCUCCACUUGGACCACUCUUCCUCAAGACGGCUAUAUACCGUGGUGAAAAAACAAGCCUGUUCCUUCAAGUUGGCUCAAAAGUCACCUUUCCAGGGAGUCUACAUUUGACAGUCAUAUAAUCAUAUCCUUUGCCCCCCAUCACUUAUAGUGCUGUGUGGCUUGGGGGAAAUUGUCUCUGAUGUGAGGCUGUAACACGUGUCGGAACUCAUAAAGCACGUGGAGGUGGCUCACACUAUCAUUAAUAGAGUUCACUACUCUAGAAAACCGUGGAGAAUGGAUGGCUCCAUGGCCUAAUGGUUAGAGCCCCCAUCUUGUGAAACAAGUUAAUCUUCACUGUUGACUGGAUCACCUGGGAGACAUGCUUCUGGACACAGAGUGAACAAGGACUCUUCUAGAGUUGAUACACGAGGAUCACCUUGAAGGUGAGAUGCAGCAUUCCAUGGGCUUGGGAGUGAAUCUGGAUAAAAGAGGAAGACAUGAAAGCCAGAUGAGUGCACUGGUCUCUCUCUGUCUCCUCAUCUGUGGAGAUCCAAGAAUGCCCAGCCACACAUUCCUGCCACCAAAUACCCGAGCAUGCCUUCUCCACCAUGAUAAACUGUUUUCUCAAACUGCGAGCGGAAAUAAAUCCCUCUUCAUUCAAG